UCGACCAUAGGAUAUGGAAAGCAGGGCUUCCCGUUCGCUCAGCCAUACUUAAGCCAUAUGCCGGCCAGUUAGUACUACCGUGGGUGACCAGGUGGGAAUCCUGGCUGUUGAUUGUU
rnacentral:rRNA from 1 species